rnacentral:rRNA from 1 species
UACGUAGGGGGCAAGCGUUGUCCGGAUUUAUUGGGCGUAAAGCGCGCGUAGGCGGCGCGGUAUGUCGUGCGUGAAAUCUCCCGGCUUAACUGGGAGGGGCCGUGCGAAACUGCCGGGCUUGAGGUCGGAAGGGGAAAGUGGAAUUCCGGGUGUAGUGGUGGAAUACGUAGAUAUCCGGAGGAACACCAGCGGCGAAGGCGGCUUUCUGGUCCGAUACUGACGCUGAGGCGCGA